GACGAACGCUGGCGGCGUGCUUAACACAUGCAAGUCGAACGGUAAGGCCCUUCGGGGUACACGAGUGGCGAACGGGUGAGUAACACGUGGGUGAUCUGCCCUGCACUUCGGGAUAAGACUGGGAACUGGGUCUAAUACCGGACAGGACCACUGCCUGCAUGGGUGGUGGUGGAAAGCUGUUGCGGUGUGGGAUGGGCCCGCGGCCUAUCAGCUUGGUGGUGGGGUGAUGGCCUACCAAGGCGACGACGGGUAGCCGGCCUGGGAGGGUGACCGGCCACACUGGGACUGAGAUACGGCCCAGACUCCUACGGGAGGCAGCAGUGGGGAAUAUUGCACAAUGGGCGCAAGCCUGAUGCAGCGACGCCGCGUGAGGGAUGACGGCCUUCGGGUUGUAAACCUCUUUCAGCACCGACGAAGCGCAAGUGACGGUAGGUGCAGAAGAAGGACCGGCCAACUACGUGCCAGCCGCCGCGGUAA
rnacentral:rRNA from 1 species